AUUGAACGCUGGCGGCAGGCUUAACACAUGCAAGUCGAGCGAGCGGCGGACGGGUGAGUAAUGUCUGGGAAACUGCCUGAUGGAGGGGGAUAACUACUGGAAACGGUAGCUAAUACCGCAUACCAUCAGAUUUGCCAAGAUGGGAUUAGCUAGUAGGUGGGGUAAUGGCUCACCAAGGCGACGAUCCCUAGCCGGUCUGAGAGUAUGACCAGCCACACUGGAACUGAGACCCGGCCCAGACUCCUACGGAGGGCAGCAGUGGGGAAUAUUGCACAAUGAGCGCAAGCCUGAUGCAGCCAUGCCGCGUGGGUGAAGAAGGCCUUCGGGUUGUAAAGCACUUUCAGCGAGGAGGCGUUACUCGCAGAAGAAGCACCGGCUAACUCCGUGCCAGCAGCCGCGGUAAUAC
rnacentral:rRNA from 1 species